rnacentral:tRNA from 2 species
ACGGUAGUAGCUCAGUAGGUAGAGCACUUCGAUGAAAAGAUCGUGUCGCGGGUUCGAGCCCCGUCUACCGUA